UAAUGUCUGGGAAACGUGCCUGAUGAGGGGGAGUAACUACUGGAAACGGUAGCUAAUACCGCAUAAUGUCGCAAGACCAAAUGGGGGACCUUCGGGCCUCAUGCCAUCAGAUGUGCCCAGAUGGGAUUAGCUAGUAGGUGGGGUAACGGCUCACCUAGGCGACGAUCCCUAGCUGGUCUGAGAGGAUGACCAGCCACACUGGAACUGAGACACGGUCCAG
rnacentral:rRNA from 1 species